rnacentral:rRNA from 1 species
AUUGAACGCUGGCGGCAGGCCUAACACAUGCAAGUCGGGCGAGCGGCGGACGGGUGAGUAAUGUAUGGGAAUCUGCCUGAUGGCGGGGGAUAACUACUGGAAACGGUAGCUAAUACCGCAUACCAUCAGAUGAACCCAUAUGGGAUUAGCUAGUAGGUGGGGUAACGGCUUACCUAGGCGACGAUCCCUAGCUGGUCUGAGAGGAUGAUAAGGCAAACUGGGAAUGAGAAAAGGGCCAGAAUCCUACGGGAGGCAGGAGGGGGGAAUAUUGGAACAUGGGCGGAAGGCUGAUGCAGGCCAGGCGGGUGUAAGAAGAAGGGCUUUGGGUUGGAAAAGAAUUUUAGGGAGGAGGCGUUACCGACAGAAGAAGCACCGGCUAACUCCGUGCCAGCAGCCGCGGUAAUAC